UACGUAGGGUGCGAGCGUUGUCCGGAAUUACUGGGCGUAAAGAGCUCGUAGGUGGUUUGUCGCGUUAUUCGUGAAAACUCACAACUCAAUUGUGGGCGUGCGGGCGAUACGGGCAGACUGGAGUACUGCAGGGGAGACUGGAAUUCCUGGUGUAGCGGUGGAAUGCGCAGAUAUCAGGAGGAACACCGGUGGCGAAGGCGGGUCUCUGGGCAGUAACUGACGCUGAGGAGCGAAAGCGUGGGGAGCGAACAGG
rnacentral:rRNA from 1 species